rnacentral:rRNA from 1 species
GACGCAUUAGAGUGGGCUACACACGUGCUACGUGGCGUAUCAGGGAGCGACCCCGCGAGGGCAAGCGGAACUCAUAAAGUACGUCGUAUUCCGGAUUGGAGUCUGCAACUCGACUCCUUGAAGUCGGAAUCGCUAGUAAUCGUAAAUCAAAAUGCUACGGUGAAUACGUUCCCGGGCCUUGUACACACCGCCCGUCACACCAUGGGAGUGGGUUGCAAAAGAAGUAGGUAGCUUAACCUUAGGGAGGGCGCUUACCACUUUGUGAUUCAUGACUGGGGUGAAGUCGUAACAAGGUAACCGUAGGGGAACCUGCGGUUGGAUCACCUCCU